rnacentral:rRNA from 1 species
UGGUGGAGUGAUUGUCUGGUUAAUUCCGUUAACGAACGAGACCUUAACCUGCUAAGUAGUUACGCAUAACUUCGGUUAUGCGGGCAACUUCUUAGAGGGACUUUGUAUGUCUAAUGCAAGGAAGUUUGAGGCAAUAACA